UGCGAGUAGAGGGCAAUUAGAUUCUUUGCGUACCGCUCAGUAACACGUGGGUAACCUGCCCUAUGCUGGGGAAUAACCUCGGGAAACUGAGAAUAAUGCCCCAUAGCCCACUACGCCUGGAACGGUGAGUGGGUCAAAGCUUCGGCGGCAUAGGAUGGGCCUGCGCCCUAUCAGGUUGUAGGGGGUGUAAAGUACCCUCUAGCCAUCAACGCGUACGGGUGUUGGGAGACAUUGCCCGGAGAUGGAUUCUGAGACACGAAUCCAGACCCUACGGGGUGCAGCAGGCGCGAAAACUUGGCAACGCGAGCAAUCGUGACCAGGGAACUCCAAGUGCUUAGGGUAAGACCUAAGCUUUUCUUGACUCUUCAAAGGUCUUGGAAUAAGGGGUGGGUAAGGACGGUGCCAGCCGCCGCAGUAAUACCGGCGCCUCAAGUGGUAGUCGCUUUUAUUGGGCCUAAAACGUCCGUAGCCCGUCUGGUGCAUUCGUGGGUAAAUCAACCCGCUCACGGGUUUGAAUUCUGCGAGCACGGCCAGACUUGGGACCGGGAGAGGUGUGGGGUACUCUCCGGGGUAGGGGUAAAAUCCUGUCCUCCUGAGAGGACCACCUGUUGCGAAGGCGCCA
rnacentral:rRNA from 1 species